GACGAACGCUGGCGGCGUGCUUAACACAUGCAAGUCGAGCGGAGCGGCGAACGGGGGAGUAACGAGUGAGUAACUGCCACCCUCUCUGGGGUAACAGUUGGAAACGGCUGCUAAUACCGGAUAGUGGGGGGUGACUCGCGUCCUAUCAGCUUGUUGGCGGGGUAGUGGCCUACCAAGGCGACGACGGGUUGCCGGACUGGGAGGGCGACCGGCCACAUGGGGCUGAGAUACGGCCCAAAGUCCUACGGGCGGCAGCGGGGGGGACGAUUGCACAAUGGGGGAAACCCUGAUGCAGCAACGCCGCGUGCGGGAUGACGGCCUUCGGGUUGUAAACCGCUUUCAGCCAUGACGCGGUAGUGGCAGAAGAAGCACCGGCUAACUACGUGCCAGCAGCCGCGGUAAUAC
rnacentral:rRNA from 1 species